UGAUAAUUAUUGUAACAUGGAUGAGUCGAUCCAGGCGAAACCAAGGGUACCUCGUACUCAGUCGAUGCUGUCUUGCAAUCAGACCGUCGGAUCAGAUUGUCGGGCAUCGGGUUCUCCUCCGCAAAGCAAUAAGACGGAUGAAGCGACAGAAUCAAAGGACUGAUUCAACUGAUGACGCUGGUUUGUACCAUCAACAUUAGAAGAAGCAAUAGAACCUGUUUCUAAAGCUGAAAGAUCUUUUAAUCCGUCGGAAUCGUACAAUUCAUUUAAUGUUGGGUUCUUAGAUUGGUCAUCAUUUGAGGAAAUAAUGGUAUUGGAAGAAGUAUUCGUACUGGAAGAUGACGAUUGAAUUUGGUCACUACUAGAAGAUUCGUUUGUGUUAAUGAUACCGCAAUUCGUCAAAUUCGUCCUUUUGUGCUUUAUUAUCUCCGGUACUUUCCAACGAGAUCUAGACUUGCAUGUUUUGUUACUUGUAUUGAAUUCAAGGGAAUUAUUUGUACUACUUUUAGACAUUUCGCUAUUUAUAUCAUCUUUAUUAGAUAUAUUAGAGAUAAUUGACUCCAAAUCCG